CUUAUGAUACGAGGGAUCAGGCUAGUAGGUACAAAGUUAAACUCUUACAAGUGAUAUGGUCAAAUCCAUAGCCGACUAAGAGAAAUGAAAAAAAAGAAAAGCACUUGAUCUAUGGUGAGAUGAGCACAAUUACAGUAAAUGAAAAGAGAUCCUAAAUAUCUGAAAAAGUUGAAAAAGUGCUUUUAACAAAAUAUAAUGACCUGGUUACUUUUGAAUCCCAGCCGGAGAGUUCAGCAGCUUCGGUUAGAGCAUCCUUCCAUCCUUGCACUUUGUCCAUGUCUCCCUUAAACCGCAGUUCAUGUUCUUCGAAUGCUUCUUUGUAUCUCUCUUCCUUCUUCCUGACAGUUGAUGGAUCCACCUUGUAGAAAACGGGUAUCACAUCCCUUUCAUAUCUCUUCUUGCAAUCCAGUAUCUUAGUCAGUUCAUUCAAACACCACGUGGAAGAUGCAUAGUUUUCAGAGAAAACCAGGACAUAGAUCUUUGAUUCUUCAAUUGCAGUUUGCAGUGCAGGUGAAAUUUCUUCGCCCCUUUGUAGUCUGUAAUCAAUAUAUGUUUCAAUGUGCUUCCUCUGCAGCGCUGCAUAAAGGUGACUAAUGAAGUUUUCACGAGUGUCUUCCCCUCUGAAGUUGAGAAACACAUCGUACCUGGUGGGAGAAGCGGACGCAGCGAAUGAUGAAGAACUCUCUGCCAUCGAAAUCAAUUGUCUCUCCUUUCUCUGCAACUCUAAGGCUCAGGAU
rnacentral:sRNA from 1 species